CCAGGCUCCCGCCGGCUAAACUCAGCCUAAGUGCGAGGAGCACCCGCUUUGAAGUGCCGCUGGCUGCGCCUCUCGCCCAAUGAGGGCGCAGGCAGAGCAGACCGGAGCUGCCCCGCAGCCAAUCAGACGCUCCGAGGGGCCCGAGCCCGGGCUCCCGGCGCGUGCCAGUCAAGUCAGCUAGCUAGGGCCGCGGGGGUGGGGGGGAGUAGUGGGGGAUACUUGCGGGGGGGGGGCGAGGGCGGGCUGGGGACUGAAGAAAUUACAGUGCAAUUAAAAAUUUACACUCACGCACCAAGCCAGGUUUAAGUACCAAUGAAACCGAGCCACAAGCACCCCCCCACACACAAACCACCCCGAGAUGUUGCAAGUUAGGGCUGACAGUCCUACUCGACUCCCCACUUGUAGGAAAGGAGGCAGGAGGGGAGGAGACACCCAGACACAGCCCGCACCAGCAGGGCCCAAGUGGAGACGGAAAUGUGAGCCCUCACUUUGUGUGUCCAGGCUUUUGCCUACAGAACACAACUUCAGCUUGUAUCUAUCAUUCUUGCUUGUGAUUUUUAUCAUUUUCGUGUGUCUUCUACCCAAUUCCUUAUUCCACUAGAUUCAAUUUCACUCUCACAGUUAUACUGGGGAGGGGGCGCGAAGGGACAGCUCCUCCGAGAGGAGCGAAAUAGGCCUCUCUGUACAGAUCUACAUCCACAGAUUUGUUGGGAGGGCCUGGAGCCUGCUGCAUCCCGCCAUUUCCCCCCAGCGGUGUAAGUGACUUCCUAAUUGUCGCUCUGGCCUCUGACCCGGGGGGUAAUACAAGUGCCACUCACGCUAGAGGCUUCUGGUGGUAAUUGAGGGCACCCUUUGUACGGUUUCGCCAGCGCUUAGAUACCAGGUUAACCCAGUUGUCAAAUAUGACUAAACAGUGGGAUGUGCUGAUUAUCUGCCGGGUUUUGCUGUGGGCUGGCAUGGGGGUGGGAGGCAUCAGCCCAUACAACACGCUGCACGAAGCCGCUUAUUUUCUCACUGUAACAACUUUGGAAACAGAGACCGGCGCGAGCGGCGUCCGCCCCCACCUCCACCUCCGCUGAAGCUGCAGCUUGCUCGGCUGUUUGUUUAACCCGGUGAAGAUUUGCAUGUCGCGUUUCAUCCUGGAGUGGAGUUUUCUUGUCCCAGCUCCAACCCACUCCCAUUCCAGACCACCAGGGCCUAGAGGCUCGUCCGUAGGGCAAGUGCGCUGUUUUAAGAGGCUGGAAGCAUCCUGAAGUCCUCCCUGGACCUUGUCAGUGUGAAAAGAGGCGUCCUCAAGCAGACCAGGGUGGCGAAAGCACCAAGGAAAUUAUGACAGAGAAAGAGAAGGAACAGAGGAGAAGAGAAAGAGAAGG